AAGAGCUGUAACUUUACAUAUCAGCAGCCACAAGAUCUUCUGAACACAAAAUUUACAACUACUAGACUGAGUUGUUAUCAAAACUUUUCUCCCUCUUGCGACCUCAACUUCAAGCCACAGCGAGAUUCAAACUUAUACAGCGAAACAGACUAUCAAAAGUUAUCUACCUCUACUAUUGUCUGCAAAGAUGGCUUCCAUUUCCGCUGAAAUGAAACGCCUUGAGGAUUUUGUUGCAGCAGCUGCUCGAGCUGUUUCCUAGUCAGAGUGAUCUUUAUGCACCGCCUUGUCCCUGUUUUCUUCUGCUCAGCUGCAUCCUGAGGUGACUCCUUGAUCUUCUCUGUUGAUGCCUCAUCAUCCGACCAGACAUCUGUAACCUUGUUUCCAUGCUUGCAGAGCAACGUGUGAAUGCAGUUUCCCAUGAUUGA